GUCUUUUUGAUAAUAAUUUAAAGUCUAGCCUGCCCACUGAAAUAUUAAAUGGCCGCAGUAAUUUGACUGUGCAAAGGUAGCAUAAUCAUUAGGUUCUUAAUUAGAAUCUGGAAUGAAAGGUUGAACGAAAAAAUAACUGUCUCUUUAUAAAUUUUUUAAAAUUUUAUUUUUAAGUUAAAAAGCUUAAAUAUAUUUAAAAGACGAGAAGACCCUAUAGAGUUUUAUAUUGAUAGUUUUACUAAAUAAUUAGAAUUAUAUAUAAUUUAAAGUAAUCAAUAUUUAGUUGGGGUGACAGAAAAAUUUGAAUAACUUUUGUUUAAUUUAAACAUUAAUUUAUGAAUAAUUGAUCCAUAAUUUGUGAUUAAAAGAUUAAAUUACCUUAGGGAUAACAGCGUAAUUUCUUUUUAGAGUUCUAAUUGUAAAAGAAGAUUGCGACCUCGAUGUUGGAUUAAAAUUUAAUUUUGGUGAAGAAGCUAAAUUUUUAGGUCUGUUCGACCUUUAAAAUUUUACA
rnacentral:rRNA from 1 species